ACAAGCGGUGGAGCAUGUGGUUUAAUUUCGAAGCAACGCGAAGAACCUUACCAGGUCUUGACAUCCUUUUGAAUGGUCUAGAGAUAGAUCAGGCCUUCGGGACAGAAGGAGACAGGUGGUGCAUGGUUGUCGUCAGCUCGUGUCGUGAGAUGUUGGGUUAAGUCCCGCAACGAGCGCAACCCUUAUCAUUAGUUGCUAACAUUCAGUUGAGAACUCUAAUGAGACUGCCAGUGAUAAACUGGAGGAAGUGGGGAUGACGUCAAAUCAUCAUGCCCCUUAUGACCUGGGCUACACACGUGCUACAGUGGCCGGUACAAAGAGUUGCGAACCCGCGAGGGGGAGCGAAUCCCAAAAAGCCGCUCUCAGUUCGGAUUGCAGGCUGCAACUCGCCUGCAUGAAGCCGGAAUCGCUAGUAAUCGCGGAUCAGCAUGCCGCGGUGAAUACGUUCCCGGGCCUU
rnacentral:rRNA from 1 species